rnacentral:rRNA from 1 species
GCCGGUAGCUAGCUUGCCCUAGGUUGCUCAUGUGAGCUAAGCAGGGUUGUGCCUGGUCAGUACCUGGAUGUGAGACCACAUGGGAAAGCUAGGUUGCUGCUGGAA